AUUGAACGCUGGCGGCAUGCCUUACACAUGCAAGUCGAACGGUAACAGGUCUUCGGAUGCUGACGAGUGGCGAACGGGUGAGUAAUACAUCGGAACGUGCCUAGUAGUGGGGGAUAACUACUCGAAAGAGUGGCUAAUACCGCAUGAGAUCUACGGAUGAAAGCAGGGGAUCGCAAGACCUUGUGCUACUAGAGCGGCCGAUGGCAGAUUAGGUAGUUGGUGGGAUAAAAGCUUACCAAGCCGACGAACUGUAGCUGGUCUGAGAGGACGAUCAGCCACACUGGGACUGAGACACGGCCCAGACUCCUACGGGAGGCAGCAGUGGGGAAUUUUGAACAAUGGGCGCAAGCCUGAUCCAGCAAUGCCGCGUGCAGGAUGAAGGCCUUCGGGUUGUAAACUGCUUUUGUACGGAACGAAAAGGCUCUGGUUAAUACCUGGGGCUCAUGACGGUACCGUAAGAAUAAGCACCGGCUAACUACGUGCCAGCAGCCGCCGUAA
rnacentral:rRNA from 1 species